rnacentral:rRNA from 1 species
AUACGGAGGGGGUUAGCGUUGUUCGGAAUUACAGGGCGUAAAGCGUACGUAGGCGGAUUGGAAAGUAUGGGGUGAAAUCCCAGGGCUCAACCCUGGAACUGCCUCAUAAACUCCCAGUCUAGAGUUCGAGAGAGGUGAGUGGAAUUCCGAGUGUAGAGGUGAAAUUCGUAGAUAUUCGGAGGAACACCAGUGGCGAAGGCGGCUCACUGGCUCGAUACUGACGCUGAGGUACGAAAGUGUGGGGAGCAAACAGGAUUAGAAACCCUAGUAGUCC